rnacentral:lncRNA from 1 species
CCCUCCUGCGCGGCCGCGGCUGGCUCUAGGCCCCGGCCUCACAGCGCGGCGCCCCCGAACCCGGCUGCUCCCCCGAGGUCGCGGGCGCCGGCGGGAACCGCAGUAGCGGGAGACAUAGCCGGCCCAGCCGGGCACCGCUCCUUGCCCUCGCCGGAGACUGCCCAGCGCCCUGCGCCUCUCCGCCCCGGCCUGCGGCGCGCUGGGUGGCGACGAGUCGGCCUCGGCGUUGAUCAGCACCAGGUUCCCUCUGUGUGCCGGGCAGUAUGCCAGUUAAUUCAAGUGCAUGUCAGACCCAGAGGGUGACAUCCUGUGACUCAGAUGCUAGGGCCCUUAUGAUGCCUGGUAAGGGAUGAACCGUUGUCCACAUUCUGUUUUCUGAGUCAAAGAGGAGGAAGAUCUGUCCAUCGAAACUGAGCUGCCAAGAUCCACUGCCGUGUCCUUCGGCUUUCUGCUCACAAGACAUCCUGGCCUGCAGGGUGAGGGGUUCUGCCCCCAUCAAAGAGAGAUCAGCUCUGGCCUUGACAGAUAUUGAGCCCCCAUCCUCUUCCACUUGCAAUUUCCUGGUCUUACUUGCUCUGCCACAUCCUGGCCUUGCCUCUAGACGUCUUGCGGGGUGAGAUGACCUUCCUAUUUGUAUUUUUACAUGAAAACUAUAAAUGCCUCUAACCUACCACUGUAUCUGCUCCCUGCUGUCCUGGGCCAUCUGAAACUUACCCUUGGGUAUGUAAUUCUCCAGCUGAAUGUCAAGCAGUUGCUCUGUAAGUAUGUCCACCACCUCUCUCAGUACUGGGUUCUGUGCUUUCCAG